rnacentral:rRNA from 1 species
UACGUAGGGUGCGAGCGUUGUCCGGAAUUAUUGGGCGUAAAGGGCUCGUAGGCGGUUUGUCGCGUCGGGAGUGAAAACCUUGGGCUUAACUCAGGGCUUGCUUUCGAUACGGGCAGACUAGAGGUAUGCAGGGGAGAACGGAAUUCCUGGUGUAGCGGUGAAAUGCGCAGAUAUCAGGAGGAACACCGGUGGCGAAGGCGCCACUCUGGGCCGGUACUGACGCUGAGGAGCGAAAGCGUGGGGAGCGAACAGG